rnacentral:snRNA from 1 species
AUCUCUUUGCCUUUUGGCUUAGAUCAAGUGUAGUAUCUGUUCUUUUCAGUGUAACAACUGGAAUGUCCUCAAUGAGGAUGUUUAAUAUGUUACAAAUCAUAUUUUUGGACUGAACUAGAGAGAAGAGGGUGUGUGGCUGAAGGUGAGAGAAAGAAGAGGAUGUCCUCGUGGCAUUUUCUUUUUUUCUCGCCUUUG